rnacentral:misc_RNA from 1 species
AACCUAGCACACCUGCGGUGUGUACCUGCGGAAGGAUCAUUACCUAGAGUUUGUGGACUUCGGUCUGCUACCUCUUACCCAUGUCUUUUGAGUACCUUCGUUUCCUCGGCGGGUCCGCCCGCCGAUUGGACAACAUUCAAACCCUUUGCAGUUGCAAUCAGCGUCUGAAAAAACAUAAUAGUUACAACUUUCAACAACGGAUCU